rnacentral:rRNA from 1 species
UCAAGUGACCAAAGGGCAUCUGGUGGAUGCCUUGGCGGUAAGAGGCGAUGAAGGACGUGGUACGCUGCGAUAAGCUAUGGGGAGGCGCGAACAGCCGUUGAUCCAUAGAUUUCCGAAUGGGGAAACCCGGCCCUUCGGGGUCAUCGCUAUCUGAAUUCAUAGGAUAGCGAAGCAAACCCAGGGAACUGAAACAUCUAAGUACCUGGAGGAAAGGACAUCAACCGAGACUCCGCUAGUAGUGGCGAGCGAACGCGGACUAGGCCAGUGCUUCAACAAGGACAACUGGAACCAUCUGGAAUGUUGGGCCAUAGCGGGUGACAGCCCCGUACAGGUAAUGCCGAGUAGAAGCCUCGAGUAGGGCGGGACACGUGAAAUCCUGUCUGAACAUGGGGGGACCACCCUCCAAGCCUAAGUACUCCUUACCGACCGAUAGCGCACCAGUACCGUGAGGGAAAGGUGAAAAGCACCCCGACGAGGGGAGUGAAAUAGAACCUGAAACCGGAUGCCUACAAACAGUCGGAGCCCGCAAGGGUGACGACGUACCUUUUGUAUAAUGGGUCUGCGACUUAGUCUGGCGAGCAAGCUUAAGGCGAUAGCUGUAGGCGAAGCGAAAGCGAGUCUGAACAGGGCGUUCAGUUCGUCGGAUUAGACCCGAAACCAGUCGAUCUUGCCAUGGCCAGGUUGAAAGCAAGGUAACACUUGCUGGAGGACCGAACCGGUGUCUGUUGAAAAAGACUCGGAUGAGCUGUGGCAAGGGGUGAAAGGCCAAUCAAGGCUGGAAAUAGCUGGUUCUCCGCGAAAUCUAUUUAGGUAGAGCCUCGAGUGAAUACCCCAGGGGGUAGAGCACUGGAUGGGCUAGGGGCCCCCACAGGGUUACCAAACCUAACCAAACUCCGAAUACCUGGGAGUACUACUCGGGAGACACACGGCGGGUGCUAACGUCCGUCGUGCAGAGGGAAACAACCCUGACCAUCAGUUAAGGUCCCUAAGUCACGGCUAAGUGUGGAAGGAUGUGAGAAUCCCAAAACAACCAGGAGGUUGGCUUAGAAGCAGCCAUCCUUUAAAGAAAGCGUAACAGCUCACUGGUCUAAACAAGGGUUCUCGCGCCGAAAAUGUAUCGGGGCUAAAGCCGUGCACCGAAGCUAUGGGUGUAUCUUUUCUUCGGAAAUGAUACGCGGUAGCGGAGCGUUCCGUAAGCCUGUGAAGGAAGACCCGUGAGGGCUUCUGGAGGUAUCGGAAGUGCGAAUGCAGACAUGAGUAACGAGAGGAGUGUGAAAAACACUCCCGCCGAAAGUCCAAGGGUUCCUGCGUAAAGCUAAUCUGCGCAGGGUUAGCCGGCCCCUAAGGCGAGGGCGAAAGCCGUAGUCGAUGGGAACCACGUUAAUAUUCGUGGGCCAGCGGGUGAGUGACGGGUGCUGUAAGUUGUUCGGGCUUAUCGGAUUGUCCGAGCAGCGAAGGUGCCCCAGGAAAUAGCCCCCGCGUGAAGACCGUACCCGAAACCGACACAGGUGGACAGGUAGAGAAUACCAAGGCGCUUGAGCGAAGUGUGCUGAAGGAACUCGGCAAAUUACCUGCGUAACUUCGGGAUAAGCAGGCCAUCCGUUUGGGCAACCAGGCGGGUGGGGCACAGACCAGGGGGUUGCGACUGUUUAGCAAAAACACAGGGCUAUGCUAAGUCCAAAGACGACGUAUAUGGCCUGACGCCUGCCCGGUGCCGGAAGGUUAAGAGGAGAAGUGCAAGCUUUGAAUUGAAGCCCCGGUAAACGGCGGCCGUAACUAUAACGGUCCUAAGGUAGCGAAAUUCCUUGUCGGGUAAGUUCCGACCUGCAC